ACUGAGCAAGAUGGCCACCUCCUGGUGGUAAGUCUCGCUCCUGGAGUUCCCAUCUUGACCCUACAGCGGGACAUUUUGCCGCCACCUCUUUGUGUGUUGGGAAGAUGACGUCCUUUCUGCUCGUCCUGCUUCUCUGAUUGAUCUGUGUCUCUGGAGAUCCCUUUGCUCAGCCAUCAGAUCAAGCAGGCAUCCAUGGUUCAGAAUGCAGGUGAUGACCUGGGCAAGAGCUCACCAGUAAGGAGCAAAGGGGCCCGCCUGCCACUCUUAAGCAGAGCGCCUGCUGAAUCAGGAUUUCCAAGGCUCCGGCUGAGUGCCUGGCUGGGGGCUGUGUGUGCAGAUGCCACAAGAUGGACAAGACUGAGGACGCAGCAGACUUCUGAUGCCCAGGCCUCAGUUCUGAACUCUGGAGGCUACAACCUGGCCUGCUUAUAGACGGUGGACCAAAUGAAGGUGAAGAGGAGACGGAUGAGGAAACUGAAGCAACUGUUCAAGAAGAGGAUAUAAAAAGGGACAGGCAUUGAUGAUGAUAUCAGAGCUUCUUCCUGGGGAAUCUCAGCCUCACAUGAUGGAGUAUGACUAAAGGAAAAAAAUAAGGCUCUUCACAUACUUUCUUGGCAGUCUGUGAGGGUCAGGGUUGAUUUUGUGUCCCUAAAAUGUCACAUGAAGUUCAUAGGCACUUCCAAAGGGGCAGUCUAGCAAGUUAAAGAGUAGAUGUGGGGCUGUGUGGAGUCCAUUGUUUGGGUAAUCUUUUUCAAACAGUAGGAAUAUACCAGCUUGUAAAGAUUUGCCCACUUAGCUUCAAGUCUCUCUGAACACAUUUCCCCCCGCUCUAUGAAUAGAUGAAGACAUACAAAUGGAACUCUUGAUAUUCUUAAGUGAAAAACAUGAUAUGGAAUAGCAGAUAAAUACAAACAAUUUCUUAUCCAGCAAAGAGCUCCAGAAAUAUUUUGACUUCAUUUAAAACAGUUAUAUAAAUAUUUGCUGGUGGAAUUUUUUUCUAAACCAAAUACCCUGAAGGAUUUUAGUUGUCUAUCUACAACUUUUUGCUUGUGGAAAAUGUUGACUUCCUGGUUACUUUGACUUGUGUUCACCUGAAAUUUUGCUUUUGCAGUAGUUUUUCUUAUGAUUUAGUGGCAUUGCCUGUCCAGUGACAGGAAGUGGUGUUCUUAUUGGGACUAAUAUGUGUUAUGGCCCUAGAACCAGCAGAAGCCACUCCUGCUUUUUUCCACACUCUUCUUUCUAUAGAAGAGAAGGGAAUGAGGAUCCCACAUGGCAUUCACUGCCUUGAGCAUACUGAGAUUUCUUUGCAAAAGGAGAAACAGCACCAGCAACUAAGCAUUUUAUCCCAUUUUAUUUUACUUCUUCUAUGAUUCUUUGCCACUUAGCAAUGC
rnacentral:lncRNA from 1 species